UGGCCAGUGAUGAGAUGAAACGUGAGUAGUGCAGACGACACUCCACUGAAAUUAAAUGAAGCGCAGUGAUUAGUCUUCUGAGGCCA
rnacentral:snoRNA from 1 species